UAUUGGGCGUAAGCGCGCGCAGGUGGUUUCUUAAGUCUGAUGUGAAAGCCCACGGCUCAACCGUGGAGGGUCAUUGGAAACUGGGAGACUUGAGUGCAGAAGAGGAAAGUGGAAUUCCAUGUGUAGCGGUGAAAUGCGUAGAGAUAUGGAGGAACACCAGUGGCGAAGGCGACUUUCUGUUCUGUAACUGACACUGAGGCGCGAAAGCGUGGGGAGCAAAC
rnacentral:rRNA from 1 species